GACGUAGGGCGCGAGCGUUGUCCGGAUUUAUUGGGCGUAAAGAGCUCGUAGGCGGCUUGUCGCGUCAACUGUGAAAACCCGUGGCUCAACCAUGUGGUCUGCAGUCGAUACGGGCAGGCUAGAAUUCGGUAGGGGAGACUGGAAUUCCUGGUGUAGCGGUGAAAUGCGCAGAUAUCGGGAGGAACACCGGUGGCGAAGGCGGUUCUCUGGGCCUUACCUGACGCUGAGGAGCGAAAGCGUGGGGAGCGAACAGG
rnacentral:rRNA from 1 species